rnacentral:rRNA from 1 species
GAUGAACGCUGGCGGCGUGCUUAACACAUGCAAGUCGAACGGUGAAGGCGGAGCUUGCUCUGCUGGAUCAGUGGCGAACGGGUGAGUAACACGUGAGCAAUCUGCCCCUGACUCUGGGAUAAGCGCUGGAAACGGCGUCUAAUACUGGAUACGAGCUGCGAAGGCAUCUUCAGCAGCUGGAAAGAAUCUCGGUCAGGGAUGAGCUCGCGGCCUACCAGCUUGUUGGUGAGGUAAUGGCUCACCAAGGCGUCGACGGGUAGCCGGCCUGAGAGGGUGACCGGCCACACUGGGACUGAGGCACGGCCCAGACUCCUACGGUAGGCAGCAGUGGGGAAUACUGCACAAUGGGCGAAAGCCUGAUGCAGCAACGCCGCGUGAGGGACGACGGCCUUCGGGUUGUAAACCUCUUUUAGCAGGGAAGAAGCGAAAGUGACGGUACCUGCAGAAAAAGCGCCGGCUAACUACGUG